rnacentral:rRNA from 1 species
UCUGGUUGAUCCAGCCAGUAGUCAUAUGCUUGUCUCAAAGAUUAAGCCAUGCAUGUCUAAGUAUAAAUAGUAUACAGUGAAACUCGAAUGGCUCAUUAAAACAGUUAUAGUUUAUUUGAUAAUUGACAAUUACAUGGAUAACCGUGGUAAUUCUAGAGCUAAUACAUGCUUAAACGCCCGACUUUAUGGAAGGGUGGUAUUUAUUAGACUGAAGCCAAUAUUCCUUGUGUCUAUUGCGGUGAUUCAUAAUAACUGAUCGAAUCUCUUCUUGAGAUAAAUCAUUCAAGUUUCUGCCCUAUCAGCUUUCGAUGGUAGUGUAUUGGACUACCAUGGCAGUAACGGGUAACGAAGAAUUAGGGUUCGAUUUCGGAGAGGGAGCAUGAGAAACGGCUACCACAUCUAAGGAAGGCAGCAGGCGCGUAAAUUACCCAAUCCUGACUCAGGGAGGUAGUGACAAGAAAUAGCAAACCGGGAACCUCAUGGUUUCACGGUAUUGCAAUGAGAACAAUUUAAAACCCUUAGCGAGAAUCAAGUGGAGGACAAGUCUGGUGCCAGCACCCGCGGUAAUUCCAGCUCCACUAGCGUAUAUUAAAGUUGUUGCAGUUAAAAAGCUCGUAGUUGAACCUCUGUCUGGGGCUAGUUUUGGCUUUGGUCAGGCUAGUUCUAGGCAUCCGCCUACAAGACUUAGAGGGCAUUCAGUUGUUCACUAGGAGGAGUAGGCAUUUUACUUUGAAAAAAUUAGAGUGUUUAAGGCAGGCAAUCGCCCGCAUAUAUUAGCAUGGAAUAAUAGAAUAGGACACUUUUCCAUUUCGUUGGUUAUUGGAAUCGUGUAAUGAUUAAUAGGGACAGUUGUGGGCAUUUGUAUUUAAUUGUCAGAGGUGAAAUUCUUGGAUUUAUUAAAGACAAACUAACGCGAAAGCAUUUGCCAAGGAUGUUUUCAUUAAUCAAGAACGAAAGUUAGGGGAUCAAAGACGAUCAGAUACCGUCCUAGUCUUAACUAUAAACUAUUCCGACUCAAUGUUUGACUGGCUUAUAUAACCAGUUGAGCGUUGUAUGAGAAAUCAAAGUCUUUAGGUUCUGGGGGGAGUAUGGUUGCAAAGCUGAAACUUAAAGGAAUUGACGGAAGAGCACAACCAGGAGUGGAUUCUGCGGCUUAAUUUGACUCAACACGGGGAGACUUACCAGGUUAAAACAAUAGUGGGAUUGACAGUUUGAGAGCGCUUUCUUGAUUGGUUGGGUGGUGGUGCAUGGCCGUUCUUAGUUGGUGGAGUGAUUUGUCUGCUUAAUUGCGUUAACGAACGAGACC